rnacentral:rRNA from 1 species
GACGUAGGGCGCGAGCGUUGUCCGGAUUUAUUGGGCGUAAAGCGCUCGUAGGCGGCUUGUCGCGUCGAAUGUGAAAUCUCGGGGCUCAACUCCGAGCUUGCAUUCGAUACGGGCAGGCUAGAGUUCGGUAGGGGAGACUGGAAUUCCUGGUGUAGCGGUGAAAUGCGCAGAUAUCAGGAGGAACACCGGUGGCGAAGGCGGGUCUCUGGGCCGAUACUGACGCUGAGGAGCGAAAGCGUGGGGAGCGAACAGG